UUAAGACGUCUGUAAUCAUUUCCU
rnacentral:siRNA from 1 species